AUCCCGACUUUUUCUUUCGACGAUCUAACUUGAGUCUUAUAUAAUACAAUGGAAUUAAAUCGAAUAAACAGGAUUAUCCAGGAUCGGAAAAGUUAGCUAAGCGACGACUUACCUAUUAUAAACGUGAUUUAAUGGUGUAAAGUAAGAAAAUCAUGGUGAGAGAUCUAUAAUAUACGUUUACCGGUGGAAAGGAGCUUACCUGAAACAGAAAAUGAGAGAAGAAUGGUCAUAUUAGAAGCGGAUAGAAAUAACUCGUGAAAGUUUAUGUAGAAUGUGGAUGAGUACACCAUAGAGGAUUGUCUGGGCUUCCACGACGAGAUCAUAAACAUGAAGCGAAAUUAGUAUGCGAGACCAUGCACGUUCGUCGCGCACAAUGUAAUCUAACAUGGUGCGUUUCCAGUUCUCGUCACUCCGGGGAAAAGCGACGUGAAUUGUGAAACGAUGACGCAAGAACGAACCCCCUCUUACCCUCUAACACAAUGAGAAUCAGCAUU